rnacentral:sRNA from 1 species
GUCAAUUGUUUCUUCUUCAAGACAAUGGAACUCGUGGCA